rnacentral:rRNA from 1 species
UACGUAGGGGGCGAGCGUUGUCCGGAUUCAUUGGGCGUAAAGAGCUCGUAGGCGGUUUGGCAAGUCGGGUGUGAAAUCUCUGGGCUCAACUCAGAGAGGCCACUCGAUACUGCUAUGACUAGAGUCCGGUAGGGGACCAUGGAAUUCCUGGUGUAGCGGUGAAAUGCGCAGAUAUCAGGAGGAACACCGGUGGCGAAGGCGGCUUCCUGGACCGACACUGACGCUGAGGCGCGAAAGCCAGGGGAGCAAACGGG